GCAAUGCGCGAAAGCGUGACGGGGCUACCCCGAGUGCUAUCCGCUGAGGAUAGCUUUUCUUUGGUUUAACGAUCCUGAGGAAUAAGGGGAGGGCAAGCCUGGUGUCAGCCGCCGCGGUAAUACCAGCUCCUCGAGUGGUGGGGACUAUUAUUUGGCCUAAAGCGUUCGUAGCCUGUUCAGCAAGUCCUCCGUUAAAUCCAACGAUCCAAUCGUUGGGCCGCGGGGGAUACUGCAGGACUAGGGGGCGGAAGAAGCCGACGGUACUCCUAGGGUAGGGGUGAAAUCCUAUAAUCCUAGGCGGACCACCAGUGGCGAAGGCGGUCGGCUGGAACGCGCCCGACGGUGAGGGACGAAAGCUGGGGGAGCGAUCCGGAUUAGAUACCCGGGUAGUCCCAGCUGUAAACGAUGCAGGCUAGGUGUUAGCAUGACUACGAGUUAUGUUAGUGCCGAAGGGAAGCUGUUAAGCCUGCCGCCUGGGAAGUACGGUCGCAAGACUGAAACUUAAAGGAAUUGGCGGGGGAGCNNCNCAAGGGGUGAAGCUUGCGGUUUAA
rnacentral:rRNA from 1 species